GACGAACGCUGGCGGCGUGCUUAACACAUGCAAGUCGAACGGAAAGGCCCUGCUUUUGUGGGGUGCUCGAUUGGCGAACGGGUGAGUAACACGUGAGUAACCUGCCCUUGACUUUGGGAUAACUUCAGGAAACUGGGGCUAAUACCGGAUAGGAGCUCCUGCUGCAGGGUGGGGGUUGGAAAGUUUCGGCGGUGGGGGAUGGACUCGCGGCUUAUGAGCUUGUUGGUGGGGUAGUGGCUUACCAAGGCUUUGACGGGUAGCCGGCCUGGGAGGGUGACCGGCCACAUUGGGACUGAGGUACGGACCAGACUCCUACGGGAGGCAGCAGUGGGGAAUCUUGCACAAUGGGCGGAAGCCUGAUGAAGCAACGCCGCGUGCGGGAUGAAGGCCUUCGGGUUGUAAACCGCUUUCGCCUGUGACGAAGCGUGAGUGACGGUAAUGGGUAAAGAAGCACCGGCUAACUACGUG
rnacentral:rRNA from 1 species